UGUUUACUCAUGCGACCGCACCGUCCCUUUUGGAUUAUCUGGAAGGCUGUGGAAACUGAGUCCAUUCACAGAUAUGGAGCAAAGAUACUCUCAUGCUGGCCACAGAGAAUGGUGCAGAGGCUAUCUACACUGAUUCUUAUGCAACAUUUAAAGGGACCACUGAGUGGAUCUGACAGUGGGAGGUAGGCUACACCAAAGUCUGGAGGGCAGGAGAUUGGCAAAGGCUGUUGGAAAUCAGCCAGACCCAUCAAGGGGGGGGUCGGUCAAAGGGCACUCCAAAAGGGAUGCUCCUGCUGCUACAUGGAAUCAGCAGGUGGAUUAUCUGGCCAGGAUAAAUGUGGUUAGCACUGAGCAAAAAGACUGGGAAAGGUUGGCUGAGUGCUUAAAGAAGGACACUCAAGAAGAUCCAACCUCUAUUGAGUGCCAUUCUCCUGGUUGGCCUGUCUCCAUGGCAACAUACCAGAUCGUUAUUUUGGCUUGUUCACAAUGUAGCAUAAGGCUGAAAGCAAAUCAUCCUAUCCUUGCCCCAGCCCAGCAUAUCAAGCAGGGUAAGACCCUGUGGAGCACAUGGCAAGUGGACUACAUGCUAUUCACUUGGCUUUGUGGCUGCACUGAGAACACAAUUUGGGAUUAUAAUUUCCUCGGCUAUUGUCUCAACACAGUGGCUCAGACUGAUGAGAUACUGCUCGGUGAGUAAAUUUGGCUAUUGAUUCAUUGAGUUCCCUGCCAGUAGCUCUGUUUGAGAGCAAAGGGGUCCGUCUUGUGGCUGGCACAGUGAUUGCUCUCCAGCUCUGAAUUGUGUGUUGAAUUUUUUUUCCCUCCCUUCCCUGAAUUUCUUUCAGAAAUUGCUGUUGUACAUUUUGUGUAAAUAAUUCCCAGCUGGGUACCUGAACCUUUAAUAAAUUGCAAAUGGUUUAUCGUCCUUGAUUUUUGUUUGCUUGUUUUGGUGCAGAAUUUGUGUUAAUAAAGCUUUGUAAUUUUGUAUUCAAGAAUAUAAAUUUUGAGUAUUUCUAGCACUUCCACAAAGAAACCUAACUAUAGCUGAGAGAGUUUAAAUUCAGAGUGUAUAAUACAAGCUGUUAGCAGUUUCUGUUUCAGGUACAAUGUGGCAUCAAAAGAAAGAAUCGACAAGGAAUCUACAGUACACAAGCACAAAUCCUAAAUCACCUGGGAGUCCCUGUUUUCAUCUCAUCUGUGAAGAGACAAACUGUUCCCUGUUUUCUGAGCUUUUGUAUCACCUACAUCUGAGAUAGCCAGAAUGAAGAAUGAACUGAAAAUACAGACUUCACUAAAAUAUUGUUUUAGAUUGACAUAUAAUUUUAUGUGAAACAAUGAAUGAUAUAGAGGGCUGGAUUGUGCUGGUUUGAGGCUAAUUUGAAUAUUUUAAUGAGAGAAAUUAGAUCAAUGGUUGUGAAAAGUAAUAAUGACAUCUAUAUCAUUCAUUGGUUGGCUGAAAGGGAUAAAAAGCCAAAAGGUUGUCUCGGUUCUAAUUUAAAUUCCCAGAGACUCAAAUAUAUUUGAUAGAACCAAUAAUAA